rnacentral:rRNA from 1 species
UCAGGCGGUUUUUGCGGCGGGGUUCCACCUCUUCCCAUACCGAACAGAGAAGUUAAGCCCGCCAGCGCCGAUGGUACUGCAUUUUUUGUGGGAGAGUAGGUCACCGCCACCU